GACGAACGCUGGCGGCAUGCCUAAUACAUGCAAGUCGAGCGAACAGAUGAAGUGCUUGCACUUCUGACGUUAGCGGCGAACGGGUGAGUAACACGUAAGGAAUCUACCUAUAAGCGGGGGAUAACAUUCGGAAACGGGUGCUAAUACCGCAUAAUAUCUUCUUCCGCAUGGAAGAAGAUUGAAAGACGGCUCUGCUGUCACUUAUAGAUGACCUUGCGGUGCAUUAGUUAGUUGGUGGGGUAACGGCCUACCAAGACGAUGAUGCAUAGCCGACCUGAGAGGGUGAUCGGCCAGCUGGGGACUGAGACACGGCCCAAACUCCUACGGGAGGCAGCAGUAGGUAAUCAUCCGCAAUGGGCGAAAGCCUGACGGAGCAAUGCCGCGUGAGUGAAGAAGGCCUUCGGGUCGUAAAACUCUGUUAUAAGAGAAGAACAAAUUGUAGAGUAACUGCUACAGUCUUGACGGUAUCUUAUCAGAAAGCCACGGCUAACUACGUGCCAGCAGCCGCCGUAA
rnacentral:rRNA from 1 species